AUGCACAUCGACGGCGACGGUUUCCUGCACCUGGACGAGGCAGCCGCAGCCACCACCGCGCUUCGGCCGCACAUUCGCGGGCCCAGAGGCCUCACGUACAGCGUGGCCACCACCGUCGGGACGGGCCACGGCCGCCGCACGUACGACCUAGAGCUGGACACGGCCAGCAGCCUGACAUGGAUGCAGUGCGUGCCGAUCGCGCACCCAUUCGCACAGGUGCCGCCGCUCUUCAACCCGACGGCCUCGCCAUCGGUCCGCCGCGUUCCGCGCGUGAGCACCCUGUGCAAUGGGCCGUCCACGCGCAAAGAGUGCAAGUUUCGAGCCACCCGCCUCGACGGUGCGCGCGUGAGCGGCAUGCUCAUCAACGAGACCGUCGCCUUCGCGGAUGACGCGGAAGUUCAUGGCGUCGUCAUCGGCUGCGCGCACACCACUACGGGGUUCCACAGCCACGAAGUGCUCGCCGGCGUCCUUGGCCUGGGCAAGCAGAGACCGUCACUCAUCUGGACUCGGCUCCACCAGCACGGGCACGACGGCGGCUUCUCCUACUGCCUCUUCGGGCCCGGGCAUCCGAACAGGCACGACUUCCUCCGGUUCGGCGCCGACGUCCCAGCCACGGGCCACAUGAGGAGCACCAAGAUCCUCUACAUGCGCAUGACCGACCCGAAGUUCAGCCCCUACCACGUCGGCCUCACAGGCGUCAGUGUCGCCGGGAUGCCCCUGAUACUGCCAUAUGGCAGUAUCAAGGAGUUGUUCCAGCGCCACAAGUUGCACGACGGCAAGUGGUCCAACGGUUGCGUGAUCGAUCCCGGGACGGGCAUGACGGUGAUGAUUAAGCCCGCAUAUGACCUCCUGGUGCAUGUCGUGGAAGAGCACGCCAGGAGGCUGGGGCUGCCGAAAGUGGAGCGCGACCAGUACUCCGUCUGCUUCCGUGGCGCAACUCGAGCCGCCUUGAGCACCUGCCGACGGUGA
rnacentral:rRNA from 1 species